rnacentral:lncRNA from 1 species
GCCUUUAGCCAAGGUCGGGAAGGCCGGUGCAGCCGCACGUGGGUCAAAACUAUAGACUAAUAGAUCAAAUUCACUUUGUACAUAACUCCUAUUUAAAAAUUGAAAGUGUCCAAUGACCCAAUUUUUAUAAGCCAAACUAGAGCUUUAUAUCCUCACUAACUUUCUCUAAUUUUUUCAAUGUCGGAUAAAUUUUUAUAUCCCCAUUUUUUCCUUUGCAAUGAAAUUUCUUUAAAAAAUAAUUUCUCAUUCAAAUUAUGUUAGCUUUGGACAAAUAAAUACACUAAAUUCACUUAUUCAUUUAGAAAAACAUAAAUCAAUCAUUGUUCAUCUCAUUUAGUAUAUGAAACUUGAUUAAAUUUUAGUCUCAUCAUAACACAUUGUCAAAAUUCAACUUCUAACAUAUAUAUUGUCUAUAAUCAUACAAAAAACAAUGAACUUCACUGUUUAGAUCAAACACCCUAACGUUGGAGCACAUUUAGUUUGGAGCACAUUUAGUUGAACUUAAUAAUUUCUCCAUAGUAACUAUAUUAUAGUUGAACUGUUGAACUAAGGAUACUGUGAUCUAGCACAACAACUAACGUUAUUUGCUGUUAUUGUUUAUUAUUAGAUUACUGGUUGUCAGAAUGUUGGGUAGACAGGUUAGUUAUAUGACUUAUCUCCAUGUUUUUUAUUUCCCAAGUCAAUUUACUAACAUUUGUUAAGUAGCAAGGGAGGUUUUUUUUUUCUUUUUUCUUUAGACUCAUUUAAAAGUCAGUUAAUUUAGUUUAUGAGUUUUUUCAUCUUUUUUAGUAAAAAAAAAUCAUUCUAAAAAAUAUUAAACUAUUUAUUUAUUUAUUUUUAAAAUUCUAAAGAUGAAAAAAUCCCAUUUUUACUUCACAAAUAAGCUUAAUUUUUUGUCUUUGAAUUUUUUUUUAGUUUGAUAUUAAUUUUUAUACUCCUCGCAUCAAGAGUAACAAAUUCCAUCUUAUCGUAAUAUAAACCGUGAAUUGAUGGUAGAACAAAACACCCCAUUCCUUGCUUUAAUUACAUAAGUUGAUUAUUAAAAUACAAAAGUUGCAAAAAUAUUAAAAUAUAUUUUUUAAAAAUAUUCUUUUCCUAAUGUUUUAUUUUUUUUAAUUUGCAUAUAAACAUGAAUAAUACGUUAUGACAAAUAAUAUAGCACAAUUUCUGGAAAACAAAAAAACAAUGUCAAAUCAUUAUAAUUCCCAAACUUAGAAAAAUACCAUAGUUAUCACCAUCAACAUCAUCCAUAUUUCUAAUCACUCCCAUCUAAAAGAAUCCUACUCAUCCCCUUCAUUUUUGUGGAAAAGAAAAAAGUAUUUGAAAACUAUGUUUUGUUUGGUAACAUAAGAUUCCAAUGGAGGUAUGACUGGAAAUUUGUUUUAUUAUUUUUCUCUAAUCUCUAUUACUUUAUUCUUAUUUAGGAGUAUCAAUAUGUGUACCAUAUACAAAAAGCCAGAAUAGUAUUUUACGCCACUCGAAAAAAUAAUAAAGUCCUUGAACGUCAAGACAAAAAAGAACUGGUGGUGGGUUUCCUGACCACACACAACUUUGCCCAUUUAGAAAUCAAAUAUUGGAACGCAUGUUUGAUCCCAGCACGCCUAUGCAUCUCCUGUUGAAAAUAUUAUGGUUUUUGGGUCACUUAAGAACUAUAUUUAAAGUGAGUCCCAUAAUUAUUUUUUGUGGGUUAAUGAUUGAACAUAAUCUUUGAACCUUGGUGAAGAGAUUUAUGAAAAAAAUUAGUCAAAAACAUUAUAAGAAGGAAAUUAAAAUUAGCUUCAAAAAAUAGUUGGUUGAAGUUGUUGAAAGAAUGAAUUGGAACAGUCUCACAUUGGUUUAGAAUGAGAAAAUUAAGUGGUUUAUAAAGCCUUGAGUUUGGAAGCGUAAAAUGUACCCUUGGGCAUACCUAAGUUUUUAGAGGGGAGGACACUUAGAUAAACUAAAUUUCUUAAUAUACUCCACACGCGCGCAGUCAUCAUCAAUUGAAUUGGGCUGGGCCGGGCUUGGGCUUGGGCUUGGGCUUGGGGGUAAAUGGGUUGUUGGACCAGCCCAAGGCUAUUUUAAAUUUUUUAUUCCUUCUGGGUUUAGUGAAAUGGUUCGCGGGUCGCUAGUAAUUGUUUGGCUUUUUCGCGCUUGGGCUGCACCAGUUCGCGUUGAUCGAACGCGUCUGGUCUUGGUAACUUUUCACUUCACCUGAAUAGUUCCUUACUCUUCUAUAAAUACCAGUACACCUCUGAUUUUUAGUCAUUCAAUUUUAGACGCAAUAGCACACAUUCUCACUCUGCAUAUUGAUUAGUUUCAUAUAACGAGAGAAUCUCCAUUGUUCUUGUUCGCUGUAUACACUGUUAUAGUGUUAUAAUUGUAUGUGAUAGACUAUUGUAUCUUGGGAAGCAGAUGUCCAGUGAUUGUAGCACCAUAACAAUAGCGCAAAUAUGCUUUAAGAAAAUUGUGUUCAACACAAGCCUCAGUCUCUAUUUUUUUUCUUUAGACUCAUUUGGGAUAGCUAAAAGUGAGUUAAUUUAGUUAUUUAGUUUACGAGUUUUUUCAUCUUUACUGAAAAAAAAUCAUUCUAAAAAAUAUUAAAUUAUUUAUUUAUUUUUAAAAUUCUAAAGAUGAAAAAAUCUCAUUUUUAUUUCACAAAUAAGCUAAAGUUUUGUCUUUGAAUUUUUAAAAUUUGAUCUUAAUUUUUAUAUUCCUCGCAUCAAGUGUAACAAAAAAACAUUAUUUUUUUUUUAUCAAAUGUUGAAAAAAAAUUACUUAAAAAAAGUUGCUAAUCAAAGCAGCUAAAUUAGUUCCUUUUUUAGCUAACCCAGGUUGGACUUUAGUAGACUUUUAGACUGUAUUUGUAUUAAGAAUUUUGGGAGAAUUUUUUUAAAAAAAAGUUAUGAAAAAAAAUAUUUUUAAACCAUUAAAUAAUUUAAAUCCAUUAAUUUUCUCUUCUUUUUUAACUAAAUUUUUAAUUCAAAACAUAGCCUUAAUAACUCAAGUUGUUGACAUGAUUGCAAUAAGUCUUCACUCUUGACUCAAAAGUUAUCUUCUUCUUUUAUUACACAAAUACCAUAGUUAUUGUCAAACUUUCUUUCAUUGUAUUAACUCACUAGUGAUUUACAGGGAUUGUGUAGAGAGAUUUGAUAUGCUAUUCUUGGUUAUACGGAUCUUAGGGCUAGAAUCAUGGGUGACAGCUAUGGUUAUUCCUAUAAUCUCUCUAAUUUGAUUAUUAAUUGACAACUCAUGCCAACACUCUCCCUCAAGUGGAAGCAUCCAAAUCUUCAAUGCGCAACUUGUCUGGUGAGUUGUAAAAUCCUUACUUGAUACAGCCUUUGUGAGAAUAUUUGUCAGUUGGUCUUCGGACUUCACAAAUGGAAAUCGAAUUAUUUUAGCUUCGAGAUUUUCCUUAAUGAAGUGUCUAUCAAUCUUCACGUGUUUAGUGCCAUCUUGCUAGAUGGGAUUGUGAGCAAUAGCAAUAGCAAUAGCUGCCUUGUUAAAAAAGAUCCAUCUCGAAGGUAAGAGCAAAUCCUAUUUCUGUUAGAAUUCUUUUGAGCCAUAGGAGUUCACAAAGUCCUUUAGCCAUUCCGCGGAACUCUGCUUCAGCACUUGACAAUGCCACUACCUUUUGCUUCUUACUUCUCCAUGUAACAAGAUUCCCUCCAACGAACAUGAAAUAGCCUGAGGUGGAUCUUUUGUCUGUGAUGUUCUCUGCCCAAUUUGCAUCUGUAUAACCAUUAACUUUGAGAUGGUUAUUUUUUACAAACAUAAGCCCUUUUCCUGGGGAGGAUUUUAGGUAUCGUAAAGUCCAAAUCACUACUUCCAUAUGUUCCUUACUAGGUUGGUGCAUAAAUUGACUUACUACACUCAUUGUGUAAGCAAUAGCAGGACGGGUAUGUGAUAGGUAAAUAAGUUUCCCAACUGUCCUUUCGAAUCUUCCUUUGUCUGCUGGCACUUUGCGCUGAUAUUUUCCGAGCUUGUGAUUCUGAACAAUUCGGGUGUCUGCUGGCUUACAGUCCAACAUUCCAACCUCGUAUGGUAAAUCUAAUAUAUAUUUUUACUGAGAAAGAAAUAUACCUUGUUUUGAUCUAGCAAUCUCUAUUCCUAGGAAAAUUUUUAGUCCUCCCAGAUUUUUUAUCUCAAAUUCAGUUGCCAAUUGUUUCUGAAGCUUAGCAAUUUCCUCUGUAUCAUCCCUUGUGAUGAUCAUAUCAUCGACAUAUACAAUUAAAAUUGUUACCUUGCCUUGUCUGUACUUCAGGAAUAAUGUAUGAUCUGAAUUACUUUGACAGAAGCCAUUCAUGCUUAACGGAUAAGUGGCCCUAUGACUGUUGGCUAAAAUACACGUCUCACAAUUAAAUUCAGAGGUCUCUACAUUGGAAAAUAAAUUAGGAAACAAAUGCCUUAGGUACCCAAAUGAUGAAUGUCCCAAAUGACGAUGCCAUAGCCAAAUCUGUUGAGUCUUUAACCCAAGCAAGGAAGACACAUGAUGCGCCCAACCUAAACUAAAAUCUUCCAUGCAGUACAAUCCCCCAUUCUUAGUACCAAGCCCAAUUAUCUCCUUGGUGAAAAUAUCCUGAAUAAGAUAGAAAUUAGGAAACACUAGCACCAAAUAAUUUAGUUCUGUAGUAAUUUGACUAAUUGACAAUAACUUGUGAGACAAGGAGGGAACAAGUAAAGUAUUAGGUAAAUGAAUGGAGGGUGAUAGGGUCACAGAUCCCGCCCCUAUGACCAGUGAGAUCAUUCCAUUGGCAUUUGUAAUGCUAGUGCGCCUUGGAGAUGAGUGGUGAGAGAAAUCCACGGGGUCAAAAGUCAUAUGGUCCAUGGCCCCAGAGUCAAGAAGCCAAUCUCCAUGAUUAGCUUUUUGGCUAUAAGCAAUGCGUAACAGAGAUUACCUUAAUCCAUAAAAGAGAGAUCCUAUAGAGAGACAUGGUUUGACUGCCGCUAUAACGACCUUUCCCUUGCAUUUAGCCAUACCACCAGUAUCCUAUUUUUCUCGAACUUGGAGUUUAUGCCACCAAUCAGGAUAUCCAUGCAACUAAAAACAAUUCUCACGUGUGUGCUUCAUAUUGCCACAAUGAUAACAUAUGAGACUAUCAAAUGAGGAACGAACUUUAGAAGCAGAUUUCCCACUAUGCUGGGGAGCAGGUCCAAAUAACUCAAGCUUGAGACCUCUCGAGGCAAGUACUGCUCCUGGCGGUGGUUCAUGGUCGCUAGAGUUCAUCACCACCUGGCGAAGGGCCUCCCUGCGGACAUGAGCAUAUGCUUGUUUCACAGUGGGAAACGGGUGCAGCUGCAACACGUCACUGCGAAUAUUAUCUAGUUUGUCAUUAAGACCAUCCAAGAAUACAUAAACUCUAUCUUCUUGGAGAAGAUUAUGUUGUUGAAUAUCAGCAGGGCACUACAUCGGAUUUGGACGACGAAAGUCGAUCUCAUGCCAGAAACCUUGCAAGUUGGUAUAGUAUUUUUCCAAGAAACCACCUGCAUGGCAGAGACAUGAGACAUGGCACCGGAGAUCAUAGACCUGGGAGGUAUCACCACAAUCGAAAUAGGUGGUAGUAGCAGAGUCCCAAACCUAUUUAGCUAUGGGAAAGCGAAUGAAGUUGCCGAUUAAUGUCGGAUCCAUGGAGCUGAUCAACCAGCCUUUGACAAUUGCAUUGUUAGUGCACCAUUUACGGAAGGACGGGUCUGUUGGGGAUGGAGGGGUUAGUUCUCCAUUGAUGUAACCUAACUUGUAUUUUUCGGAGAUGUACAUCUCGACAACUUAGGACCAUAGGGCAUAGUUGGAACCAUCCAACUUUAUGCCAAUCGGUAGAGUCGUAGGUUCAGAAAUCACGGUAGGAGCUUGAGUUUUAGACAAAGCUUCAGCCAUUGUGGUUGUGAAUAAGUCAGAGAGGAGUGUAUUCUGGUUGGUGGGAGAUUCCUCCAUCUGGAUUGGGGUUUCGGUGGCUUCCAUAGGAGAAGGUGGUGGGUGGAAGGAGGUUAGAUGCUAGUGAUUGACGUGAACAAAGAGCCAGAUCGUGCGAGGCUCUGAUAUCAUGUCAAACUUUCUUUCAUUGUAUUAAUUCACUAUUGAUUUACUGGGAUUGUGUACAUAGAGAGAGAGAGAGAUGAUAUGCUAUUCUUGGCUAUACGGAUCUUAGGGCUAGAAUCAUGGGUAACAGUUAUGGUUAUUCCUAUAAUCUCUCUAAUUAUUCCUAUAAUCUCGCUAAUUUGAUUAUUAAUUGAUAACUGAUGCCAACAGCUAUCACCAUCAACAACAUCCAUAUUUCUAAUCACUCCCAUCUAAAAGAAUCCUACUCAUACCCUUCAUUUUUGUGGAAAAAACAAGAGUAUUCGAAAACUAAGUUUUGUUUGGUAACAUAAGAUUCCAAUGGAGGUAUGACUGGAAAUUUGUUUUAUUAUUUUGCUCUAAUUCUCUAUCAUGGUGGUGGGGUUCCUGAUCGUACACAAUUCGCCUGUUUAAAAUUCAAUUCUUGGUGCGCGAGUUCUCCCCAGCACGCAUGUGCAGCUCCAUCACACUUUGCCAAGCGAUUUUUUUUAGGAGAACAAGGUGUCAAUCACAGACAUGACAUAGACACGAUUAUAAUGAGCACACGGUGAUGGGAUAUAGCAUGGCCCACUAUUUUGAUUUCACCUCGUCCAUAUUUAUUUUCUUAACUCUAAAUAAUUAUGAAUUUUUCAUAUAUUAAAAUAGUCAUUCAUAAAAAAAAUAUGGCACAACAUGGCACGAGGCACAAAUGGAUUGUGCAGACCUAGGUUUUUAUCAAAUGGGUAUGGUAUGACAUGAUUAAAAAUGAACACAACACAGUAUGACAUGACAUGAAAUACGGUAAUCAUAUAAACAAAUUGAUCAGGUCAACAUGGUGCGACCCAUUUGACAGAUGCUGACGGCAUGCUUAACACAUGCAAGUCGAACAAAAAAUGGUAUUUCUAGUGGUAGACGGAUUAAUAACACUUAACAGGCUGCUCCAGAGAAGCUUAUGUUUAUUUAUUUGGAAAAAUAAUCUCACUUUGUUUCAUAAUUUUGUAAUUCAGCCUUUUGCAGUGCUCCACAAAAGAAGAACAUAAUAUACAACCAACCAAUUUUAUGAAAUAUGAAUCUAACAAACAUUAUGAAAAAGUGCCAACCCAACUAACACGGAGACUAUACUGGAAAAAUAAAAAAAAUAAAACCCAAAAAAUGUAAUGCCAAGAAAAAAAAAGAAAUUAAACAAAAUAGGAUGGCGAUAGUUAGAAUGUUAAAUACAUUUUUUUCUCUGUUGAUCGUUCAGAAAACUCCUAAAGUUUUUACCUGUUAAAGUGUUUACUAACUGCAGUUAUUAUGUUAACAAAACUUUUGUAAGCCCCAAAUCAUUAAACAAGAAUAAAUGUCAAAAUUUUAAAAUCUAUUUAAAAUUUUCAAUCCAAUUUAAUGGGUGUUUAGCUAGUUGGUUAGCUAGCGUAAUGGACUUUCUUGUUGCUCACUAGCUAGCAAGCGUUGCAAAACUAAAUGAUCUAAAACUUGAUUAUAAGUGA